CCACUCCUCUCCCUUCCCUAUUUCCCCUCCCCUCCUCCUUCCUCCUUUACUGUCUCUCUCCCCCCUCUUUCAACUCCCUCGCUCCCCUCUUUCUCCUCGUUCCUGCUCUCUCCUCUUACUCCAUUCACUAGCUCUCCGGCCCCUUGCCCUUGUAACCCCCCCAACCACCCCCCACCCGCCACACACACCCAGUCCCCCCUUUUGUCCCCUGCCGAUCGACCCCCUUCUGAGGAACCUACCCCUACAGCUCCUUUCCUACGGCCCUUCUCCAGCCCCCCUCUCCCUGAGUUGGACCCUGCUGAUCUUGGGACAUCCCCAGUAUGUCUUGGCCUUUGAAGGAAAAUAUAAUUGAGUGGGAAAGAACAAAAAGAACGCUAACAGAGUCUCGGUCCAACUCGCUCUCAGAUGACAACUUACCGGACCGAAAAAGAAGGAAGGGAAGAAUGAAAGGAAGAAAUGAGGAGAAAUGGAAAGAAGAGUGUUGACCGAGCUCGCUCUCGGAUGUCAACAACUGGGCCGAAAGGAAGGAGAGAAGAUAAAGAAAGACAGAAAGACAAACAAGUCUACGACUUUGAGAGCUUCGACCGAACCCGAUCACGGAACCGAUAACUCGGUAAUAGAAUCCAUACCAAACCAAUGGAAAGAAAACAAGGCCAACGUAUAAUGAAAUGGAUGUUUCUUUAUUUACAGUUACAGGGCAGAGGGGGUUCGUCAAUAUCCUUUAUAACCAUUUUCAUCAAAUGCCCUCUCUCUCUCUCUCUCUCUCUCUCUCUCUCUCUCUCUCUCUCUCUCUCUCUCUCUCUCUCUCUCUCUCUCUCUCUCUCU